CUGGAUCCAUCCGCAGACGUCCUCCACCCACUAUGAAGCCGAGGCAUUCAGCGACUCGGCGAAGAUACUUCAAGUGCGUUCUUAUGUCAGGCGCUAGUAUUAGCAGAUCAUCCAAGUAGACGAACACAUUCGAGCGGAUUUCAGCUGGAAUUACUCGGUCCAUGAGUCUCACCAGCCUCUGUGAUGCGUUACAGAGUCCGAAAGGCAUCACACGGAACUGGUAAAGAGGCCGACCAGGAACCGUAAAGGCUGUGUAUUUCUUGCUGCUCGUGUCCAACUCAAUCUGCCAAAAAGCGAACUUCAUAUCCACGCUGGAAAUGUAGUACGUUUGGUCAAUUCUGGACAGGAUGCCGUCUAUGCUGGGCAACGGCGUCCAGGACUCGGGAUCGGUUUUCUCCUCAUCGUCAUCCACG